rnacentral:rRNA from 1 species
CUAACGCGUUAAAUCGACCGCCUGGGGAGUACGGCCGCAAGGUUAAAACUCAAAUGAAUUGACGGGGGCCCGCACAGCGGUGGAGCAUGUGUUAAUUCGAUGCAACGCGAAGAACCUUACCUACUCUUGACAUCCAGAGAACUUUCCAGAGAUGGAUUGGUGCCUUCGGGAACUCUGAGACAGGUGCUGCAUGGCUGUCGUCAGCUCGUGUUGUGAAAUGUUGGGUUAAGUCCCGCAACGAGCGCAACCCUUAUCCUUUGUUGCCAGCGGUUCGGCCGGGAACUCAAAGGAGACUGCCAGUGAUAAACUGGAGGAAGGUGGGGAUGACGUCAAGUCAUCAUGGCCCUUACGAGUAGGGCUACACACGUGCUACAAUGGCAUAUACAAAGAGAAGCGACCUCGCGAGAGCAAGCGGACCUCAUAAAGUAUGUCGUAGUCCGGAUUGGAGUCUGCAACUCGACUCCAUGAAGUCGGAAUCGCUAGUAAUCGUAGAUCAGAAUGCUACGGUGAAUACGUUCCCGGGCCUUGUACACACCGCCCGUCACACCAUGGGAGUGGGUUGCAAAAGAAGUAGGUAGCUUAACCUUCGGGAGGGCGCUUACCACUUUGUGAUUCAUGACUGGGGUGAAGUCGUAACAAGGUAACCAAGGGCGAAUUCCAG